rnacentral:rRNA from 1 species
AUUGAACGCUGGCGGCAGGCCUAACACAUGCAAGUCGAGCGAGCGGCGGACGGGUGAGUAAUAUCUGGGAAACUGCCCGAUGGAGGGGGAUAACUACUGGAAACGGUAGCUAAUACCGCAUACCAUUAGAGGUGCCGAGAUCGGAUUAGCUAGUAGGUGGGGUAAAGGCUCACCUAGGCGACGAUCGCUAGCUGGGCUGAGAGGAUGAACAGCCACACUGGAACGGAGAGACGGUCCAGACUCCUACGGGAGGCAGCAGUGGGGAAUAUUGCACAAUGGGCGCAAGCCUGAUGCAGCCAUGCCGCGUGUGUGAAGAAGGCCUUCGGGUUGUAAAGCACUUUCGGCGGGGAGGCGUUACCCGCAGAAGAAGCACCGGCUAACUCCGUGCCAGCAGCCGCGGUAAUAC